rnacentral:rRNA from 1 species
UUUCGACCUGAGGUCAGGCAAGAACACCCGCUGAACUUAAGCAUAUCAMUAAGCGAGA